rfam:Lactobacillus equigenerosi DSM 18793 = JCM 14505 strain DSM 18793 NODE_18, whole genome shotgun sequence.
GCGGAUAUGGCGGAACUGGCAGACGCGCAAGAUUUAGGUUCUUGUGUCCUUGUGGCGUGGGGGUUCGAAUCCCUUUAUCCGCA